UUGAGCUUGAUCCCUGGCUCAGGACGAACGCUGGCGGCGUGCCUAAUACAUGCAAGUCGAGCGGACUUGUAGGAGCUUGCUCCUGCAGGUUAGCGGCGGACGGGUGAGUAACACGUGGGCAACCUACCUAUAAGACUGGGAUAACUUCGGGAAACCGGAGCUAAUACCGGAUGACACAAAGGAACUCCUGUUCCUUUGUUGAAAGAUGGCUUCGGCUAUCACUUAUAGAUGGGCCCGCGGCGCAUUAGCUAGUUGGUGAGGUAACGGCUCACCAAGGCGACGAUGCGUAGCCGACCUGAGAGGGUGAUCGGCCACACUGGGACUGAGACACGGCCCAGACUCCUACGGGAGGCAGCAGUAGGGAAUCUUCCGCAAUGGACGAAAGUCUGACGGAGCAACGCCGCGUGAACGAUGAAGGCCUUCGGGUCGUAAAGUUCUGUUGUUAGGGAAGAACAAGUGCUAGUUGAAUAAGCUGGCACCUUGACGGUACCUAACCAGAAAGCCACGG
rnacentral:rRNA from 1 species